rnacentral:lncRNA from 1 species
UAUAUGUAACAUUUCCCAAAGAUGCUCAAAUAUCAACUUAAAAGUGAAAAAUGGCGGACGCAAAGGGAUCGGUUUCUUCAGCAGAGGGCGCCUGUUCUCUAUGAAAAUUUCUGCAAGCAUGCAUCACAUAUAUGUAUACGUAUGCACGAGCGAACAGCUGCGUUUGAUUCGUACGGUAAACUCAACGUUCUAAUUACGACAAUUGGCUGUCAUUGUUCUUAGACAUAUACGUAAGACUGGGAGAACGAUUAACGUGAUGGUAACCAGUGACUACUUGGAAAUUGUGGCCCUACGGUGCUCGCGACGAAUGUUUUCGAACAGCACGUGAAAUUAAGGUCGAUUGUUAAUAAUAGAAAUGAGACAAAGAUGUCGGAUUUAUUAUUAGCAUAUGCUUUUAAAUAAUCUGAUUUCAUUUGAAAUAUUGUCGAUUCAAAGAAAAAGACAUUUUUAUUUUGUACAGGAUGAUUCAUAUUAUUGAUCAUUAUAAUACUUUAUCUUUAAUUAGUAUCGUUAAAUCGUAGAUGGCGUAUUAAUAGUAAAUCUGUUAAUAUGACAAUUUUUAUUUUGUAAUAUCAUAGUAUAGUAUUAUUAUAUUUAUUUGUUUUAAUUUUAUAAUAUAUAUAGUUUUUGAACAAUAUGAAUCUAACUGAUUAAUUCUAAAAAAAUUAAAAAUUGUACAGUAAUUUUUAGCUAUGCAAGAAAUUGAUGUUCCUAACCUCAUUCAAGAUUCAUUCUCUCGGAUAUCUCUUAGGCAACAAUAUUGCGACAGGAAAAAAAAAGAAAAGAGGAUUAAACGCCAUGCUAUUUUCCUUCACGCUAAAUACGAGAAUUAAAUUCAUAACCGCAAUUCUAUUCGUGAUAUUUGACGGAACUAAUGUGGUGGAACGAUGGAUUGACGCGUGUAAUUAGAAAGCACAUACGCGCAUUUACGCGGAAUCGGCGCGUUUGUUUUGCAAUUAGCGAAUUGCAAGUAGGUCUUGAACAAUUGAAUUGCAACGUUCACUCAUCCUUGGUUUUUCUUAUGGAUCAACGGGAUAACUAGCUUUGAUAACGAAGGAUAAUCGUUGGGCUGAUCUUUUAGUGAACUUUAUUCCGCAGCUAUUGUCAUCGAUCGUCAAUUUAGAAAUCACUUUAAAGAAACAAUAAUUAUCAUUAUCAUAUUAUGUUAAUGGAAUAACUUUAUGUUGAAUUUGGAACGACAUUAAAGAUAUUUAUGCGAUUUUGAGAAAAAUAUAAAAAUAAAACAAAUAAAAGAAGUUUCAACAAUUCUUUAGAAGCAAUUUGGGUGCUAAUUAACCAAAGCUGAUUGGGCGCAUUACAAUCGAUCUUUCCCAUAGAAUGGCGAUAUGCAAAAUUCGACAUUAGCCAAAGCGUGAUCUAUCGGCGUCCUUAAUUAGUUAGCUCGCCACAUUUAUCUCUAGGUAUUAGCAAUCCUAAUCGCCAUUCUUCCUGUGGCCAGGAUCUUUAACGAAAUCUCGAUUUUAUCUUAAAAAAAAAAAACUCUUUUAUCUGAAACGAAAAAAAAGAUAAAAGUGAGAGUAUUUCCUAGAGGACGUGAACCUUCACGUAACGAACCGAUCGAGUUACUCGGAAGCUGUGCUUAGGCUAAUUUCAUCGGCGAUCGAUUUUCUAUUUCUCACGAGGUUGGACGUUGAACCAGUCUUUUCCUUUCUAAGAAUAGAAGAUUGUAUAAAUAAUAUUGCUCAUUAAAUGCUAAUAUAGGAUGGUCCAACUACUAUAUAGAAAGGAUUUGAUGAAAACAGCGUUCGCUCAUCGACGUUUUUUCCAUGCCGACAACACCGCGGAGAAUGAUCAGAACGAGCAAUCCCAUACGGAGGCGCCGCUGCUCGAAGAAAAACGAUCUGGCGAGCAGACAUCCGAGACAACUUGCUUUCUUUUUCUUACCAUUUCUUCUCGUCUUUCUCCUCCUGUCUCUCAGUCUCUCCAGUCUUUUUCAUUUUUCCCUCUUUUUCGCCCUGAUCCGUUUGUCAUGUUUCUUCGUUUCUUCUCUUGCUAUAUUCUUCCCGUUUAAUCCUUUUCGAUAACCAUUUAUAUCUUUUUUUUACUUUUGUCUUACAUAUUUGGUCUUUGUAUUUUUUUAUUCUUAUUUAUCCGAGCAAUUUUUUUUCUUUUUUUUCUUGGUUU